rnacentral:rRNA from 1 species
GGUGAACGCUGGCGGCAGGCCUAACACAUGCAAGUCGAACGGCAGCACAAUAAGCGCUUUCCCUUACUGGUAGCGAGUGGCGGGUGGGUGAGACAUACAUAGGAUUCCACUUUUUCGGGGGUGAUAACGUAGAGCCGCAGAUGCUAAUAGCGCAUACUACCUACGGGAGGAAGCAAGAGAGCUUCGCGGUUUUGGUGUCAGAUAUAGCCGAUGCCGGAUUAGCUAGUUGGCAGGGUAAAGGCCCACCAAGGCGACGCACCGUAGCAGGUCUGAGAGGAUGAUCAGCCACACUGGAACUGAGACACGGUCCAGACUCCUACGGGAGGCAGCAGUAGGGAAUAUUGCGCAAUGGGCGCAAGCCUGACCCAGCCACGCCGCGUGAGUGAAGAAGGUCUUCGGGUUGUAAAACUCUUUUAUUAGGAAAGAAAAGAAGUGGAUGAAUCCGCGGCUGUCCUGACGGUACCUAAAGAGUAAGCACCGGCUAACUUCGUG